CUUUCACGCAAAGGCAGCAACAGCACAAUCCAUAAAGAUAGUGGCACAUGUGGAUGAAGUCCUUUCUGCCUCUGCAAAGAAGAGCCCCUCGUGGCCAGACUUUUGCCAUUGUGAUGUGCUUGUAACAUGGCAGCAGUCUGCUCCUGAAUCAGAGAAAUGAAGAUGGGAAGUAAAUGGCUGUAAAUUAAAUGAACAGGUGGGGCUCUGCGAAGCUGAAGAUGGCCACUUGGUUCUUCCCAGCGACCUGGGAAACCACCAUUUUUCAAUGUUUGCAUUCCAUCACCCAUGAUAGUACAUUUAAAGAAACUCUUUCGGCCCCUGGAGGCCUCAGACCUCCACCCACUGAACGCUUGGAGCAUCUGCAGCUGGAUUUCGUACAACUGACACUUAAUAUGGGUUGCCAACAUGUUCUUGUUCCUGGAUUAUGUUCUCCAGAUGGGGUAGAGCCUUCCCCUGCCACCAGGCCGAUGCCCUCACAGUGGCAAAAAAACUGUCUGAAAAUGUCUUUCCCACGUGGGGUAUAUCUGCCAGUUUCCGGUGAUGGAGCCCCCACUUCCCUGGACAAACCAUACGAGCCUUAAUGAAAACCUUGAACCCAUCUUGCAAUUAUCACCAUCCUUAUCCUCCUCAAUCAUCAGGGAAAGUUGAGAAAACUAACGGGAAAACUGAUUCAAGCAGGACAAGUAUUAAUUCUAUGGGAUGGCAUAAACUGAGGGGAUGUGUAAUGAUUUUUUUUUUUCCCCACAGAAUUAAAGAAAUUUUUUCUCGGGGCCUGCCCGGUGGUGUAGCGGUAAAGUUCACACGUUGUGCGUCUUGGCAGCGCAGGGUUUGCCCGUCCAAAUCCCGGACUGGACUCCGGCCUAAGGUAUCGCUCUGGGUCUUGCCGACUGUUCGCAGUGCCCCGUUUGGAAAACAAAGUCACCCACAGGAGCUGGUCACCCGCAGAACAAUGCCUGUUGGUACAUGACCUUCUGCUGAUGCCCCAUUGUCUCAUAUGACAGCUACUGUAGGUCUCCAAUGUCUUAUACUCCAGCCUGUCACCAACAGGUUAAAGGGGCUCGCCCAGAUUCCAGUUGAAAGGAUCCUGUUGGUCACAGUUAGAGCCUGGGGACUGGUCAUCUGGAAGGUUCCUCAAAGGAAGACGGCCCUCGAGCCCCAUUGGAAAGGCCCUCCUGAAGGUCUCCUGACCACUGACUCUGCCUAGAGCUAGAAGGCGCUGAGCCUUGGAGACAAUCUCACAGUGAAGAAGUCCCCACCUGGCAUCUGGUCCUGUGCACAUGCUGAGGCCUCCAAGUCACAUGGACCCGGAGGAGAAGCAGCCGACCUCUGAUGCUGACAGCCUUCCCAAGAUUCAGGACUCGGCAGUAUAUGUGUACACCCUGCUCUGACCUUAUAGCUGAUCCUCUUCCUAACAGACCUGUUCUAUCACAUUGGGAAAUCUAUUGAGUUGCAUGAUUAUUCAGCAUUUUUCCUAAGAAAGUGUCAUUCAGUUAGCUGGUGGUCUGGAAUAUCACUUAACUUCCUUUAUGAUGAUGAUUGGAACUUCGCUCUAUGUACUUGUAUGUAAACUUCCCAUGCUACCACUCACUCAGAUCUGCUGCAG
ensembl:lncRNA